UACGUAGGGGGCAAGCGUUGUCCGGAAUCAUUGGGCGUAAAGCGCGUGUAGGCGGUUCGGUAAGUCUGCUGUGAAAGUCGGGGGCUCAACCCUCGAAUGCCGGUGGAUACUGUCGGACUAGAGUGCGGAAGAGGCGAGUGGAAUUCCUGGUGUAGCGGUGAAAUGCGCAGAUAUCAGGAGGAACACCAAUUGCGAAGGCAGCUCGCUGGGACGUUACUGACGCUGAGACGCGAAAGCGUGGGGAGCAAACAGG
rnacentral:rRNA from 1 species